GCGGGCUGGACCUCUCGGGGUUACAGCCUUGCUGAAUUAUUCACCCUUGUCUUUUGCGUACUUCUUGUUUCCUUGGUGGGUUCGCCCACCACUAGGACAAACAUAAACCUUUUGUAAUUGCAAUCAGCGUCAGUAACAAAUUAAUAAUUACAACUUUCAACAACGGAUCUCUUGGUUCUGGCAUCGAUGAAGAACGCAGCGAAAUGCGAUAAGUAGUGUGAAUUGCAGAAUUCAGUGAAUCAUCGAAUCUUUGAACGCACAUUGCGCCCUUUGGUAUUCCAAAGGGCAUGCCUGUUCGAGCGUCAUUUGUACCCUCAAGCUUUGCUUGGUGUUGGGCGUCUUGUCUCUAGCUUUGCUGGAGACUCGCCUUAAAGUAAUUGGCAGCCGGCCUACUGGUUUCGGAGCGCAGCACAAGUCGCACUCUCUAUCAGCAAAGGUCUAGCAUCCAUUAAGCCUUUUUUCAACUUUUGACCUCGGAUCAGGUAGGGAUACCCGCUGAACUUAAGCAUAUCAA
rnacentral:misc_RNA from 1 species